rnacentral:rRNA from 1 species
GGACGAACGCUGGCGGCGUGCUUAACACAUGCAAGUCGAACGAGUGUAUGAAGGAGCUUGCUCUUGAUUACACGAGUGGCGGACGGGUGAGUAACGCGUGAAUAAUCUGUCCUAUACAGGGGGGAUAACGCAUCGAAAGAUGUGCUAAUACCGCGUAGGGCCACGGUACUGCAUGGCACUGAGGUGAAAGGAGCAAUCCGGUAUAGGGUGAGUUCGCGUCUGAUUAGAUAGUUGGUGCGGUAACGGCGCACCAAGUCAACGAUCAGUAGCCGACCUGAGAGGGUGAUCGGCCACAUUGGGACUGAGACACGGCCCAGACUCCUACGGGAGGCAGCAGUGGGGAAUAUUGGGCAAUGGGCGAAAAAGCCUGACCCAGCAACGCCGCGUGAAGGAAGAAGGUUUUCGGAUUGUAAACUUCUGUCCUAUGUGAAGAGUUGUAGACGGUAGCAUAGGAGGAAGCCCCGGCUAACUACGUGCCAGCCGCCGC